AUGAACGCUGGCGGCGUGCCUAAUACAUGCAAGUCGAGCGAACGGACGAGAAGCUUGCUUCUCUGAUGUUAGCGGCGGACGGGUGAGUAACACGUGGAUAACCUACCUAUAGACUGGGAUAACUUCGGGAAACCGGAGCUAAUACCGGAUAAUAUUUUGAACCGCAUGGUUCAAAAGUGAAAGACGGUCUUGCUGUCACUUAUAGAUGGAUCCGCGCUGCAUUAGCUAGUUGGUAAGGUAACGGCUUACCAAGGCAACGAUGCAUAGCCGACCUGAGAGGGUGAUCGGCCACACGGGAACUGAGACACGGUCCAGACUCCUACGGGAGGCAGCAGUAGGGAAUCUUCCGCAAUGGGCGAAAGCCUGACGGAGCAACGCCGCGUGAGUGAUGAAGGUCUUCGGAUCGUAAAACUCUGUUAUUAGGGAAGGACAUAUGUGUAAGUAACUGUGCACAUCUUGACGGUACCUAAUCAGAAAGCCACGGCUAACUACGUG
rnacentral:rRNA from 1 species